rnacentral:rRNA from 1 species
AAUCUUCCACAAUUGGCGAAAGCCUGCUGGAGCAACGCCGCGUGAGUGAAGAAGGUUUUCGGAUCGUAUAACUCUGCUGUAUGGGAAGAACAAGUACAGUAGUAACUGGCUGUACCUUGACGGUACCUUAUUAGAAAGCCACGGCUAGCUACGUUCCAGCAGCCGCGGUAAUACGUAGGUGGCAAGCGUUGUCCGGAUUUAUUGGGCGUAAAGCGCGCGCAGGCGGUCUUUUAAGACUGAUGUGAAAACUUACAGCUUAACUGUAAGCGGUCAUUGGAAACUGGGAGACUUGAGUGCAGAAGAGGAGAGUGGAAUUCCAUGUGUAGCGGUGAAAUGCGUAGAGAUAUGGAGGAACACCAGUGGCGAAGGCGACUCUCUGGUCUGUAACUGACGCUGAGGCGCGAAAGCGUGGGGAUCAAACA